rnacentral:rRNA from 1 species
CUACGGGUGGCUCCAGUGAGGAAUCUUCCGCAAUGGGCGAAAGCCUGACGGAGCGACACCGCGUGAAGGAUGAAGGUCUAACGAUUGUAAACUUCUUUUCUGAGGGAACAACAUGAGCUAACCUCAGGAAUAAGGGACGGCUAAAUGACGUGCCAGCAGCCGCGGUAAUACGUAUGUCCCAAACAUUACCCGGAAUCACUGGGUGUAAAGGGUUCGUAGGCGGAUUAAUAAGUUGAACAUGAAAGACCGGAACUCAACUCCGUGUUUGUGUUCAAAACUGUUAAUCUAGAAUAAGGGAGAGGUAAGCGGAAUAGUAAGUGUAGGGGUGCAAUCCGUAGAUACUUACUAGAACACCAAAAGCGAAGGCAGCUUACUGGAACUUUAUUGACGCUGAGGAACGAAAGCGUGGGGAGCGAAAAGGAUUAGAUACCCGCGUAGUC